ACUGGGAUUUAUACAGGUAACAAUUGAAAUUGUUGAGUGUUGAAUAGUUGCAAAUUGUUAAAGGUCAACUUUUGUAACUGCUCAUGUAAUCCCUUAGAUUAACACUUUGGAUGUUAAAGGUUAUUGAAUCCAUCAACAGGGAAUACACACCUGAAGAAGAUUGAAAGGAAUACAAACCUGUCUAUGUUAAUAAUCAACCAAGCAAACAGAAACGUAACUGUACUUAUAGAAAGGUACUUUCGUUGUCAUGAUAUUAGGAAUUAUGUAUUUCAAAAUGGAGUCUGAGUUCAAUUUUGAUGAUGGAAAAAGCAUAAUGAAUCUUGGGUUUGGUUCAAGUCUUGAAUGGAAACAAAGACCAUGAUGAAGUUGAUGAUGGAGAUAAUUUAAAAAUGAAAAACUUCAUCAAGACAAGGAGCAGUGUUGCAGAUAAAAUAUCCAUUAGGUUGAAUAAUAUGUGGACCUUUGUUUGCCUUGAAAUGUCAAUGGUUAUGUUGACAAAGGUAACACAUAUUUGCUCAAGUCUUACUUUUUGUUGAUCGCUCUUUCAAGCUCUCAAGUGGACAAGUGACAUAUCUAAUUUACAAUUCAAAAAGUAAUCUGAUAUUUAUGAACUGUUUAUACAGCGUGACCAGUUCCAUCAUUUCCUAAAUCCUUCUCGAGUUAUUCAAAUUUUAAUCUAACAGUUGAUUUUUUAUGUGAUGAUUGAUGAAAUCGUUAGGAGCAACAAUCAAAAAUUGAGUCAACCGGACUCUAUUGUUGUGUAGUUAAUGUUUUAUGCACACAAUGGAGGUAAGAUAAUUGUCUUUUGAUUGUCAUUCGAAUCAAUUGUGCAGACUAAAGUUACUUGAAGCAAAUUGUGAUUGAUGAUCAAGUCCAAAGGAAAGAUUGCAAUGAACAUUUAAAUUGUUAUUAAUAUCGAUAAAAACAAUUAGCAAACAAUAAGAGGGAAUCAUUACUCCAAUGGUAAUGAAACUCAACAAUAUUUUUGGGUUACAGAGUUACAAAUGCUCGAUCGAUUGUGUUAACAUCUGGAUGGUUCAUCUGUAUCAUCAGUAUCAACAUCUUGUAAGAUUAACCAUUAAUUGUUAUGAUUAAAAUAUUAAUGUACCUUUACAUAAUUAUUAGCAAAUGUAGUUUCUUUUUCUUGGUUACAAGAGUAAAAUGAUUGCAGCUCUGGAAAAAUGAGUCUGAAAAUUGAUGAGACAGAAUAAUUUUAAUUGUUUCUAUUCUUAAAUUGUAAGACAGGAAGACUAAUUAACCUUAUUACAAGAAGAACCAGAUUAUUAGUUGAAGUCGAGUCAAUGAGCAAAGAUGAAAAAACGAUUUCGAAGCUGUUAAUUAUUAACAAUCAACUUUAAAUAAUUCAGCUUAAUGAUUUGACGUCAAAAGUGAGAAACAAAAAAAGUGCAAAAAUUUCAUUCAUAAUUCAUUUUGGAUUCAUCAUUGAUGAUUAUUACUGCCUGUAACAGUCAAUGUUGAUCAUUACUAUUUACAAUAUUACAUUGUCGACUGAUCAACCAAUUUAUAUUAAUUUGAAAUCUGUUUUACUUUAAUUUACUUAAGUUGGUUGGAAAAGGUUAACCAGAUGAAACCCACUUUUGGUUGAGGAUUUCAUUUAUCA